GUUCUGACUGCUGCGAAUUCUUUCUCUGAACAGAGCUACAGUGUCUAAGAGCUCUGUAAUUGAAGUGAUAACUACAGUCUUCUCUUCAAGAGCUGAGAAAAGAGAUUUUGAUUGAUGCCUUCCCUCUCCGAGGUGCAUAUGUCAUUCUGAAUUCUCUGCCCUGUUGGGAAUGCUAUGAAAAAGGUGAUAGUAUUAAUAGUGAAAAUGAUGAUACUAAUUAUGUUACAUUUGAAUGUUUACUAUGUAAUGUAUACUGUGCCUAAACCUGUAUAUGCAUUAUCUCCUUUAAUCUUUACAAUAUCACCAGGAAUUAAACAAUAGUAUUAUUUGUAUUUUAUAGUAGAAAAACUGAUAUUCAAGUAAUUGGUGUAGUUAAGAUUGAUAGCCUGGAGUCCAUACUCUAAAGUACAAUGAUCAUAUCUCAGAAAUGAUGUUCAACAUGAAAAAAUAUUGUUAAUGUGCUUGAUAAUUUUUAGUUUAGCGACCACUAAUUAAUUUUUAUCACUUUUUAUGUCAGUAAUGUACUUUUCCCAAUACAUGUAAUUGUACUUGACCGUAAUGAAUUAUCAUAACAGAAGAGCACACACACACAGAUGUUAUUACAAACUAGCACAUAUAUUAGUUGGACUAGUUUAGUCUAUUAAUAUAAAAUUACACUUAAGAAAAAGUUACAUAUUAUGCAUUUAUGCACAGUUACAUAUAUGCACAGUACUUGAUUAAUAUUUAAUCAAAAUGUUGGUUCAUUUCAAUUGAUUCUUAUAGUUGCUUUUUUUGAUCAUAUGAAAAGUGAGAAAACGCACAUGGUUUUGCAGUUACUCUAUUAAUUCACAAUAAUGUGGACAAUUUCUAUGUUAAAAAUUGUACACGAUUGAUUUAAAAUGAAAAGGCCAACCUAAGUAUUAAUCAGCUAAAACUAUCAUAGUCAGUGUAAAAUGAAUUUAAUGUCCUUAUUUUACAUCCUAUGGAAAAAUUGACUUGUGACAGCAUUUUAUACAUUGAAAAGCUGAAAUACUACUAAAAUACAGAAUGAAACAAAGAAAAGCAACUCAUAAUGGCUACACAGAUCAAUUGACUCAAUCGAAGCCAAAAUACUUUACACUAUAAGCAUUAACUUGGAUAUUUCCAGUAUGCUAAGAUUUUUACAUGGCUAAAAAUGAAAAAGCGAGUUCACUACAUUGCCUCAGUUUCAAAUUUUUAAGUUUCCAAUUCUAUCCAGCUACUCUUAAUGAACAUCUUAGUAAUUGUAUUAUUGGAAAUAGGGCGCAUAAUUGUGCUAUCAGAGUGCAAAAAUAAAAUUGCACAUGCACAGCAAGUCAUAAGUAAUAAUAGGAUUAAGCAGAUCAGAGGAUACAAAGUCUGGGAGACUAUUUAGACAAGAGGAAUUCAAUGGGGUAUGGCAAACUUAAGCAGUCAGCAGGUUUGAAGUCAAAGUUCUAGAUCCAGGAAGUGCAGGAAAUUUGAUUAGCCAUAAAAUUAGGAAGGCAUGGUAGUUUGGGGUUUGAAUCCGAGGACUGGAAAUCCAUCAGUAUAGAAGAAUAGAUAGGUCUGGAAUAUCCAGUUAUUCCACUGAAUGCAGACAAACAUUCAGAAUGAUAAUGAGGAAGGGAGAGGGGAGGGGAGGAAAAGGAAAAGGGUCUCAAUAUCAGAACAUCAGGGAUGCUAAAUGAAUUUGGCUCUGUUGAGUAAACCUGAGAUUUUUUUCCUGGUAAUUAUAACAGUGUUAUUAAAAAUGCAAAGACAAUAAAGUCCUCACAGGUUUAUAACCAAGGGUAGAUAAAGGUACUAGAUCCUUGUGAGCUUGUAUAAAUUUUCAAAGCUCUCAACUAAAAUUUGAUG
ensembl:lncRNA